UGUGGUAUCCCCUAUGAUAGCGAUAAGGGUAUGUGGUGUAUGUGAUCCCACAUUGCUUGGGAAUGAGAUGUUCUUGCUCUUUAUAAUGUUCCAAUGGGGCUCCAAUUGUGUCAUUGACUAGUCCUUUUGAAGUAUACCUCAUGUGGCUUGGACCUUCUAUUGAGGUGUUACAAAUGGUAUCAGAGUCAAUCCCAACCAGAAAUGUGAUACUUGAGUUGUGUCACCUACGAAGAACUGGCCUGACGAGGACGUAGAAAAUAUAAAGGUGAGAGAUUGUGAUACCCCAUUCUAAUAAGUGAUAAGGAUAGGUGUGUGGGAUCCCACAUUGAUUGGGAAUGAUAAGUUCUUGCUCUUUGUAAUAUUCCAACGAGGCUCCAAUUGUAUCAUUGAUUAGUUUUGCUGAAGUAUAGGUCAUGUGGCUUGGGCCUUCCAUUGGGGCGUUAC